GCGGGUGUGGCGGAAUUGGUAGACGCGCGGGUCUUAGGAGCCCGUUCCGUAAGGAGUAUCGGUUCAAGUCCGAUCACCCGCACCA
rnacentral:tRNA from 1 species